rnacentral:rRNA from 1 species
ACGGAAGGCAGCAGUGGGGAAUAUUGCACAAUGGGCGAAAGCCUGAUGCAGCGACGCCGCGUGAGUGAUGAAGUAUUUCGGUAUGUAAAGCUCUAUCAGCAGGGAAGAUAAUGACGGUACCUGACUAAGAAGCACCGGCUAAAUACGUGCCAGCAGCCGCGGUAAUACGUAUGGUGCAAGCGUUAUCCGGAUUUACUGGGUGUAAAGGGAGCGCAGGCGGUACGGCAAGUCUGAUGUGAAAGCCCGGGGCUCAACCCCGGUACUGCAUUGGAAACUGUCGAACUAGAGUGUCGGAGGGGUAAGUGGAAUUCCUAGUGUAGCGGUGAAAUGCGUAGAUAUUAGGAGGAACACCAGUGGCGAAGGCGGCUUACUGGAUGAUAACUGACGCUGAGGCUCGAAAGCGUGGGGAGCAAACAGGAUUAGAUACCCUGGUA